rnacentral:rRNA from 1 species
GAUGAACGCUAGCUACAGGCUUAACACAUGCAAGUCGAGGGGCAGCAUGAACAUAGCUUGCUAUGUUUGAUGGCGACCGGCGCACGGGUGCGUAACACGCAUCCAAUCUACCCAUGGCUCGGGGGUAGCCUUUCGAAAGAAAGAUUAAUACCCGAUGGUCUCGGUUUAAGGCAUCUUAGACUGAGUAAAGAUUUAUCGGCGAUGGAUGAGGAUGCGUCUGAUUAGGUAGAUGGCGGGGUAACGGCCCACCAUGCCUACGAUCAGUAGGGGUUAUGAGAGGAAGGUCCCCCACAUUGGAACUGAGACACGGUCCAAACUCCUACGGGAGGCAGCAGUGAGGAAUAUUGGUCAAUGGACGAGAGUCUGAACCAGCCAAGUAGCGUGAAGGAUGACUGCCCUAUGGGUUGUAAACUUCUUUUGUUUGGGAAUAAAGUUCGGGACGUGUCCCGUUUUGUAUGUACCAUUCGAAUAAGCAUCGGCUAAUUCCGUGCCAGCCGCCGCGGUAAAAC